CAAAGACAAAAACAUAAUGAUCCUCGACAUUUAUCUAUUCAAGUACUGGAGAAAUUUUCUCUUGUCACCAGAUUUGCACGUGAAACAAAAUCUCAAUUUCUUCGUGAAGCUCAAGGUGAUGGUUUCAUUUCUAAUGCAAUGAAGAAGCAUGACAAAAAAACAAAUAAUUACUCUUCUGUUGUUGAAUCUAAUGAUGUUCACAAGCCGCUUGAAGAUGUUCAUG
rnacentral:misc_RNA from 1 species